GACGAACGCUGGCGGCGUGCUUAACACAUGCAAGUCGAACGGUAAGGCCCUUUCGGGGGUACACGAGUGGCGAACGGGUGAGUAACACGUGGGUGAUCUUCCCUGCACUUUGGGAUAAGCCUGGGAAACUGGGUCUAAUACCGGAUAGGACUACGCGAUGCAUGUCGUGUGGUGGAAAGCUUUUGCGGUGUGGGAUGGGCCCGCGGCCUAUCAGCUUGUUGGUGGGGUGAUGGCCUACCAAGGCGACGACGGGUAGCCGGCCUGAGAGGGUGUCCGGCCACACUGGGACUGAGAUACGGCCCAGACUCCUACGGGAGGCAGCAGUGGGGAAUAUUGCACAAUGGGCGCAAGCCUGAUGCAGCGACGCCGCGUGGGGGAUGACGGCCUUCGGGUUGUAAACCCCUUUCAGCACAGACGAAGCGUAAGUGACGGUAGGUGCAGAAGAAGCACCGGCCAACUACGUG
rnacentral:rRNA from 1 species